UAUCCUGUCUGAAUAUGGGGGGACCAUCCUCCAAGGCUAAAUACUCCUGACUGACCGAUAGUGAACCAGUACCGUGAGGGAAAGGCGAAAAGAACCCCGGCGAGGGGAGUGAAACAGAACCUGAAACCGUGUACGUACAAGCAGUGGGAGCAUGAGUUUACUCAUGUGACUGCGUACCUUUUGUAUAAUGGGUCAGCGACUUAUAUUCUGUAGCAAGGUUAACCGUAUAGGGGAGCCGCAGGGAAACCGAGUCUUAAUUGGGCGUUAAGUUGCAGGGUAUAGACCCGAAACCCGGUGAUCUAGCCAUGGGCAGGUUGAAGGUUGGGUAACACUAACUGGAGGACCGAACCGACUAAUGUUGAAAAAUUAGCGGAUGACCUGUGGCUGGGGGUGAAAGGCCAAUCAAACCGGGAGAUAGCUGGUUCUCCCCGAAAGCUAUUUAGGUAGCGCCUCGUGAACUCAUCUCCGGGGGUAGAGCACUGUUUCGGCCAGGGGGCCAUCCCGGCUUACCAACCCGAUGCAAACUGCGAAUACCGGAGAAUGUUAUCACGGGAGACACACGGCGGGUGCUAACGUCCGUCGUGAAGAGGGAAACAACCCAGACCGCCAGCUAAGGUCCCAAAGUCAUGGUUAAGUGGGAAACGAUGUGGGAAGGCCCAGACAGCCAGGAUGUUGGCUUAGAAGCAGCCAUCAUUUAAAGAAAGCGUAAUAGCUCACUGGUCGAGUCGGCCUGCGCGGAAGAUGUAACGGGGCUAAACCAUGCACCGAAGCUGCGGCAGCGACACUGUGUGUUGUUGGGUAGGGGAGCGUUCUGUAAGCCUGCGAAGGUGUGCUGUGAGGCAUGCUGGAGGUAUCAGAAGUGCGAAUGCUGACAUAAGUAACGAUAAUGCGGGUGAAAAACCCGCACGCCGGAAGACCAAGGGUUCCUGUCCAACGUUAAUCGGGGCAGGGUGAGUCGACCCCUAAGGCGAGGCCGAAAGGCGUAGUCGAUGGGAAACAGGUUAAUAUUCCUGUACCUGGUGUUACUGCGAAGGGGGGACGGAGAAGGCUAUGUUGGCCGGGCGACGGUUGUCCCGGUUUAAGCGUGUAGGCUGGUUUUCCAGGCAAAUCCGGAAAAUCAAGGCUGAGGCGUGAUGACGAGGCACUACGGUGCUGAAGCAACAAAUGCCCAGCUUCCAGGAAAAGCCUCUAAGCCUCAGGUAACAUCAGAUCGUACCCGAAACCGACACAGGUGGUCAGGUAGAGAAUACCAAGGCGCUUGAGAGAACCCGGGUGAAGGAACUAGGCAAAAUGGUGCCGUAACUUCGGGAGAAGGCACGCUGACACGUAGGUGAAGCGGUUUUACCCGUGGAGCUGAAGUCAGUCGAAGAUACCAGCUGGCUGCAACUGUUUAUUAAAAACACAGCACUGUGCAAACACGAAAGUGGACGUAUACGGUGUGACGCCUGCCCGGUGCCGGAAGGUUAAUUGAUGGGGUCAGCGCAAGCGAAGCUCCUGAUCGAAGCCCCGGUAAACGGCGGCCGUAACUAUAACGGUCCUAAGGUAGCGAAAUUCCUUGUCGGGUAAGUUCCGACCUGCACGAAUGGCGUAAUGAUGGCCAGGCUGUCUCCACCCGGGACUCAGUGAAAUUGAACUCGCUGUGAAGAUGCAGUGUACCCGCGGCAAGACGGAAAGACCCCGUGAACCUUUACUAUAGCUUGACACUGAACACUGGUCCUUGAUGUGCAGGAUAGGUGGGAGGCUUUGA
rnacentral:rRNA from 1 species